AGCCCAUUUAGGCUCAACCCAAGACCAUCAGUCCUUUCCUGUGCUGUAUCAGGGAGUUGCCGGUCUCCAGCUCAGACACAGCUAUGCCCGUGCUGGCCGUGGACCUUAUCAGUCAGACUCAGGUCCAUGCACUUUUUGCCUUUGCAAGAGUCCCAGCAUCGUGAUGGACCUUCCUGGGUGGUGUCUGACCUGGGUUACCCUCCCUGGAUCUCAUGUUGACUGUGUGGCUUGUCCUCAGACCUGCCUGAUGAUGUGGGCUCUUUGUUGAACCUGGCUGUGAUCUGUGGCUCUGCUCACCUUGCUCAGUGGCUCCAGCACAAAAUGCCUCUGAAAAAAUGCAGCAUAGAUGUGAUGACAGAACCGACGUUACUGCACACAGGAUGGGUCUGUGCUGCCCAAAUGUCCCUUCUCCUGCGGUCAUGAGCUGGGACAAACAGCGAGUGGAAAAGAGCCGAGUGUGUUCUGGGAGGGCUGAGGCCACAGUCAAAUAAGAGGCUUGGAGUAUGUGCCAGAGUGGAUAUUGCUGUGGUUCCAGGGUCUCUUCCAACCAAAAUGAUUCUAUGGUGGCUGGAGGUGGAGUGAUGAUGAUGAAGGUGAAGUGUUGCAGCCUCAGACUCUGGUACCCACCAGCUCCCGAUGCUGUACCAUGGCAAGUCAACCCUCAGAUCUGCAGGAUGACUAUCAGCUGAGAAAUACAGCCGCCAACAAGCCCCACCUGGUCUUUACUUCGCACUUGGAGAUGACACAUGUGGCCGGACGUCUCCAGUAGCCCUCCAUGCGGACUCCUCACCCUGCCACCCCAGCGAAGAUGAUGCAUUUGCAUAAGAAGCAACUGGGUGAGUAAUACCUGCCGCUGCAGACAUCAAAUGCUGCAAGUAUUUUGUGGUAAACCUGUUGCUGCUCAGGGCAGGGAGGAUGCACUUUACCCUGAAGGAUGAAAGCCUUUGUGGCAACGGCUGUGCUUUGAAAGCCACUGAGCCCAAUCAUCUGCACAAGCAACUGUUUUAUUAUCAGAAUAACUGAUCUCCUGAAGCACUUAAGACUACUUGCACCAAGUGGAGCCAGUGCAUGCUGUAGCCUUUUGCUAGUGCUACUGAGUAUCUCAGCCUUGCUCCAGCAGCAAUAUAUUACUGUUAAUUACAAUAAAAUGGUGCAUUUAAGGGAUUCACCUGUUUAUGUUGCUUGUUCAAGUGGGCUCAGGGCAGUACACAAUGCAAAUAACCACCAGGUAUCCCCAUGACCUGAAAUGGCUGUAUUUCCUAGUUCCGAAGCUACAGGUGUGCAGUGACGCAGACCUGUGGUUGUCAUCACCGAACUGAGUCUAAGAAGAAACUAGAUUUGCACCUUGCAUAUCUGUUUGUAGAUAAGAUCGCUGCUCCAGAUACAGCUGAUGGACAGACCAUGAACCUGGGUAUUGGGUUAUUGCUGACUUUGGCCUUGGCCACUUAAAUCAUUGGAGAAAAAUUCCCUGUGCUUCUGCUUUCUUAUGUGCAGAUAAGGACACUGGUCCCUGGAUUAAAAGCGUUAUUAAGGAGCCAUAUUAAGAUUAUAAUUAUUAUUUUAUAGGCUGGACAGAGUGCAGAAGCUGGCAGCGCUGUUGCUGGGUUUCUUCAAGGAGUGUGUGCAUUUGCAAAAAGGAAGAAACAACCGUCCGGAAUGUUUUCUCAUAUAUAGGCUGAGGAAACAUUAUCUGUGAAACAGCCAGCAGUUUUUAUUUACUGUGAAAAUUUGAAUCUUGCUCUCAAUUUCCUAUCAAGAUAAAAUGCAGGCAUUUGGUUAAAAUGGUAACUUAAUGCUCCAAAGGUUUAAUUACCACCACUCUAUAAUCAGAAUCAACACAGAGCGCAGUUUGCAGCUCCUGACAAAGCAGUCAAUGAAAAGCAGAUAUAUUGCAUGCACUCUAGAGUUUGUCCUUCCCAUAGCUGAACAUGCAAAUCUGCUACUGCUAAUAGUUUUCAAACCUCAGGUUCUCCCUUAGGUAUUAUCAAACUACACAUCUCCUUAUUUACUACAUUUUAACUUUGCAUAUAAUUUCUAUAUAGGUGUGUGUGGUACUGAAUUAAGGGAGCUCACAGUGCUGGAAACUACAUUUCCAAUUUUUUCUGUAUCAGCAGGAAGUACUGGUCUGAACUAGUCAUAAUAGGGGUGAUUAUUGAAACUUUGUAAGGGCCUGGGUUGAUGAAAGUGUCAAGAAGGCAGAUACGUUUUCUGGACCAUGGCUGAUGUGAUCUCUGGCGUGGGUCUCUGCUCCAUGGGAUGAAUGAUUGAUGCUCCUCUGUUGCAGUUCCUUCUUCUUUUCUUCUAUUUUAUUUUCCCGUUUCUGCAGGAGUUGCAGUAGCAACCACAGAUGCUGCUCUCAAAAAAUAAAACCCUUUGCUACAGUUUCGGUUCUCUCUAAGCAAGGGUUAAUUUUUUUCAUCAUCACCAGCCUCCUGUAAAAAGCAGCACAUUUUGUAUCCUGCCCCUUCUGACUUGUGGAAAUAAGAGAUACCUUAUUAACAAUCCUUCUCCAAACAAAGUGUUGGCCUGGUUAGUGCCAGCACUUUCCAUCCAGCACUAGUAUUUGUUUUUCCAUGCUCAUAAUCUUAUAAAUUGAAUCAAGUCUGAUAGAAGUGGCUUCCUGAAUAUUGCGUAACAGUUUGUGUCUGUCCGGAUGGAAGAAAAAUAAACCUGACCUUGAACUUGGAAAGUUUCCUCCCAGCAGGUAGAAGCUUUACAAAGUGUGUGCUGAGCUGGGAAAUGCCAGAGGGGGCUCUGGGUCUCCUUGCUGCCCUAGAACAGCAGCAAGGAUACCCUGGCAGCCACCCUCUCCCCAAAAAAAGCUUUGGAAAAUGCUUUGGAUCCUCCUCUGGGGACCAGAGAAUCCCCGGAAAGAGCUGCAGCAGGAAGACAGCAGCACAUUUUUGUUCCAAAAAGGAGACCGAGAAGAAAUCCUGUCCAUAUCUGGCAUAGUUUAGCCUCCAGGGAUUAAUUAAAGGCUUUUUCAGUUUUUCUUUUAAACCUCACAGUAUCCAUCUUCGCCUCACUGAAUAGGGAAAAGGAAGAGGCAUUUUCUCUCGCGAAUCACCAGGCUGUUUCAAUUUUCAGUUUUACAUUACAAUAAUAUUUUUUCCUAAGGGAAUACCACAGGAAGGGCAAACUUUGGCUUCUCACUAUUGCAGCAUUACCUUAUUAAUAAGAGCUGGAAAUCUGAGCGGAGGGUGAAAUAAAUAUUCUCUAAACUUAUCAGUCCCCUUUGUCCUUGGUGCUUCUGUCCCCUCUUCCUGGCCCUCAGGUGAGGCAGCUGAAGGUGUCAGCAGAGAUCCAGCAUGAGACAGGGCACUGGGAGCCUGUGUGUGGUGAUGCUGCAGGAGCUGGGAGGUGUCCUGCACCCUCUGAUGGGAAUGGAGCUCUGGGGCAGCAAAAUCUAUUUUUCCAUGUCUCAGGCUUGUGGUGAUGGAUGCAAUGAGGGGGAAGG